rnacentral:ncRNA from 1 species
CGAUAGAGGUUGCGGAGAUUAUCAGUACUGGCCGGUUAAGCGCAGGGGGGCGCGGUCAGGAAAGGAUGAUCCGCCGAAGCUUACCGGAAACCCGAAACCGGCUAGCUGGGACGGUGCAAUAAGAUGCGCCGGACUGUCACGAAAGUGGAGCGCUAUCAU